rnacentral:lncRNA from 1 species
UGGUAUGAUUCCUACCCUUGCCUAAUUUUGUGAAAUAUGAGUUCAACACAAGGCUUUCUGGAUUCAUAUGUCUUUCAUUCUUCAAACUAAGAACUUCCAGAGUCUGAUUUCCGUGAUUCUCUUGCUGCAGGUUGAACCGAAGAAGUUCGGACUGCUCUCAAAUUGGCAGAGAGAGUAUACGAUGGAAGACAUAUUGACGCAGCUGAAGAAGGAGAUGGCAGCUGCACACAACCGAAAGCUUGUCCAACCUCCAGAGGGCACCUACUUCUAGCUAUGAAGAAGGAGAAAAAGAAGAAGAAGAUGAUGAUAUAGGUUUAAUCCCGGACCAUGUCAUCCCCCGGGUCCGUUCGAUCCGGGAAUAUAUAAGCUUGUAAUGAAUAUGGUGAAGUUUUUGGGACGUACUAGAGAGUCUGACCCCCUGCAAGGAAAGCUUCUCCAGUUGGUCUCUCUCUCUCUCUCUGUUUCUGCAUGGUCAAAAAUUGUCUUGUCCUUCUGUUGAAUCUGCUGUUUUCAUGAAUGGAACGUUGUUUGAUUAAUGGGAUAUUUUGUGUCAAGUUGCAUUAUAAGGUGGCGAGACUGUCAAUAUCUGAUCUAACAGAACUGUAUGUGAUGACAUACGUAAGGCUCACGUAAACCUUUCAGGUAUUGGAUGGCAAGAAUUGUUUAAUUGUGCAGCCGAUGGAAUCCUUUUGUCAGAAGGUUCAAUGCACAUGAAUAAUUGUAUAUAGCAAGUAGAGCGGGAUAAUGCGAGAUCCUGGAUUUUGUAUACAGAGGAGUAGAGCUGCCAGGAACUGACUGUCUUCGUGAAUGCCAACUCAGACUCGUGAUCCUUAACCCGUUUUUACGAAUAGUCAAUUAUGUGUAACCUAACUCGACAUGAGACAUGAUUGACAGUAACAUGUGACAUAUAUGAUCAAUGACCAUGUAAUCUCGUAGACUUGACUCCAUUUUACAGUUUCGUAUUGGGAUUAUUCCACAGGAAUUUAUCCUAUUGUAUGUUUUGGAUGAAAAAAUAAUCUUUCUACUAGUUUUAAUGAUAAGGAAAUACAAUAGGUUGACAUCCUAAUCCAAGUGGAAUUGUGAUUCCAAACCUCUUCAAAGAUAAAUGUAAUUUUACUAGGUAUCUUUUUUAUCCCUCAACUUAACUAGGCAAAUUUCCAUAAUUUCACUUUGAACUUUACUUUUUUGAAAAUCACGAUUCCUUGUUAAACCAAGCGUACAUAAAUAAAACCACAACGUUGUACACAUAUUUUAAUAUCAAAAAACCCAACAUCGGAGAGUUCUCAUAAAUAAAAAAAGAUCAUAUGUCGGAAUGGCUUACCCAAGUCUAUCCAGAGAUGCAGUCUUCACUUUGAAACUACAUGGAUAGCGAUCGUAAAUCUUUUACAAAGUAAAACCGAUCUUAAUCAUUUCUCGUGGAGUGGUAUGAUUCCUACCCUUGCCUAAUUUUGUGAAAUAUGAGUUCAACACAAGGCUUUCUGGAUUCAUAUGUCUUUCAUUCUUCAAACUAAGAACUUCCAGAGUCUGAUUUCCGUGAUUCUCUUGCUGCAGGUUGAACCGAAGAAGUUCGGACUGCUCUCAAAUUGGCAGAGAGAGUAUACGAUGGAAGACAUAUUGACGCAGCUGAAGAAGGAGAUGGCAGCUGCACACAACCGAAAGAUUGUCCAACCUCCAGAGGGCACCUACU